AUGCUCUGUCCUCAGUUCUCAGCUCCCAGUCCUCUAGUCUGAGAGAGCUAGACCUGAGUAAUAACAACCUGCAGGAUUCAGGAGUGAAGCUGCUGUCUGCUGGACUGGAGAGUCCACAUUUUAAACUGGAAAUCCUCAGGUCAGGAUUCAUUAACCCAUUUAACUGAUGACCCUGAAUACUCUGCUUUACAUUAGUGGAUAAACCGCUAACAUGUUGAGGUUUGUUUGCUAAUAUGAUUUGUUAAUUUACUUUUGACUUUCAAUGAGGAUUUUUCAUGAUUUUGCAUUUGUUUUGCUUUUGUUGUUGAAAUAUUACAUAUGCACGAAUUUAUUCUAACAUUGUAUCUGGACUAAAAUGUCCAACAUCUUACAAAAAAAACAAAAACGUACAAAAAAAGUUUUCCCACUGGGGGAUUCUUUUAGUACUGGUUGCUCUGACUAGUUUCCUCUGUCUAGUGGCUACUUUGAUAUACCACUGUGAAGUCACAUUAUUUUGUGUGAGUGCACAAUCUACGUGUCUUUUUCGCCGUUUUUGACUAGAUCACUCUACAUAAACAGAUUUUUAAGGUCCGUAUUAUGCAAAAUACACUUUGAUGUCUUUACCCACAUAGACAAAAUCUCUCCCUUUUUCUCCUGCUCAUUCUUUCAGUAAAUGUGUAUGCAAACACAGUUUGACCAUGUCCAUUCAUGACAUCAUGGAGGGAUCUGUGUAGGGACUGCUACGGCACAGGACCUCCUCCAGCCCUUCAGCACUGUAGAUGACCCCUCCCACUGAACGCAUAUUGAAUACACCUCAGCCAUGACCCCGCCAUAACACCAAUCGGUCAUUCCAUAGAGCUGCUAGAGCUGGAAGUUCAGUCAGUCUCGUAGAAAGUGCUUUUUUUUCGAUAAUGAAAGAAAGUUAAAUAUUUUCUGGUUUUCCCUCUGAUGCUGUCCUACUGCUCUUUUUUUUUUUGGAAGAUUUAAUUGUAAGACGUUGUGUGAGAUCAAGUAAUUUAUCUUUUAUUUAUUUAUUUUCCUUAUCUUGUAUAGAGAGAAGUGGCAUGACCGAGAGACAGUAGCGACAUGAAUGUAGAACAUCUUCUUGAAAAUGCUGUAGGCACAGGGUCAAUACCAUAGACUGUAUAUAAAAAUUGACAUAUAAUGUCCAUGACGUCAUCCAUUGGUUUCUGAAGAGCAGUUUUGAAGCCCAAAUUGGGCGGAGCCGGUCACCGCCAUCUUGGCAGCGCGUCACUGCACAUCACUCCCGGAUAACCAAAAAUGGGCAAAGAGGCGGGUCAUGGGUGAAGCUGAGGUAACUGGUUGCUGAAACCACUCCCACCUAGCUCGAUGUGACCAAGUUAGCUCAGGCUAAGGAGCUAAAUCUAUAUGCUACUCUGCGUUGUCAAAAGUAGCUUCUAAACCCCUGGGGGCUGUAUGGCUUAUUGCCGUGUUGUUACCAGUCUAUGGUCGUUACCAGCUUACACUCGAGGUAAGUUACCUGAACUACACAACAACACUUAAAAUAACUAUUUAUCUGUUAUUGACAUUAUAGUUCAUAAGGUUUAAAAUGCUUCAACAAUCUUUAAUAUGUAGAUGUAGUAAUGCUGAUGGAAGCUAUUUAACUUGUAAAACAUUUAUUAACUGUUAUUGCAGCUUUAGUUAAAGUAUUAACAAAUCACACAAGGUAAUUCCCCACAUCGCUAUGUUGAGUUACGUUGCUGCUGUCGGCAGUGCUGUGCGAGAUCAUUGUCUGGAAUAACACUGUUGUCACAACACAUUUGUCACAAGAUGUUUUUUUCUUUCAGUGAUCGGUUCUUGUUGAGGUCGCGAUGCCUCCACGUCUGCUAUAUACAGCUUAAACUUGUCACACUGUUCAUCAGAUGUCCACCUGGUGCCCAGAGAGCUACAGAGACCUGGGAAGCCUCCUCAUUGUGCUGGAAGUUUGUAUCUGCAUAGACUGAUGUACUUUUAGUUUUAAAUAUUGUCCAUAUUUGUGUUAUAUUUCCAUAUAAAAAAUAUGGUUUAUGGUUCACAUUGUAAUAAAUUCUAAAUAUA